GAAAGAGUAACAACAGUCUUGGAGGUGAAGUGGGUGUCCUACCAACCACGUACUUGGCUAUGUCUUUGGGGGAAAAAUUCAAGUCUAUGGAAAUCUGGAAUGGGGUGAUUGAGAAGUGUGAGAAGAGGAUAGAAAGGUGGCAGUCUCAGUACCUUCCACUAGGGAUAAAACUGACUCUGAUUAAUUAUGUGUUUCAUGCACUGCCAACAUAUAUGACGUCAUUAUUUCCUGUCCCAACACGAAUCAUCAAUAGGUUGGAUAGUGUUAGACCCCUAGUCUAACAAAGC
rnacentral:misc_RNA from 1 species